CUUUCUCUCUCUCUCUCUCUCUCACUCUCUCUCUACCACCUCACACUUGCCAGUACCAGAGUUCUCCGCCUGGCAACCAGCUAGAGCAUUGUGUCUUCUUGGCGAAGAGAGUUGGAGAAAGAAGGAUAGACAGGACAGUGAAGGAGAGAGAGAGAGAGAGAGAGAGAGAGAGAGAGAGAGAGAGAGAGAGAGAGAGGUGAGAAUGACAUAUGGACAGGGGGCGGCAUGCUUUGAGUGUGUCUUCGUUCAAAGGAGCAACUUCACGAUGAAAAACAAAUACGUACAUUUGGACGGUCUAAUUCUGACUUCAUCUGUUAGUGAAUAUUUGGGACUUUUAUAAAUAUAUGUAAUUAUUAGCUUUUAAAGGGAUUCACAGAAUACGAGAAGUGUUUUGAGCGGUGUCAGACAGUUUUGACCUUAGACAUUGACAGACAGACAGUGACAGGCUGCUGGAGGAGAAGGAGGAGGAGGAGGAGGAGGAGGAGGGCGUUAAACACUGAGGAGAUACAACAUGUGCGUUUACAGAUCACUUGAACGGAUUUUGCAUGACAGACAGACGAGCCACACUGGAUAUCAUAAUGUAUCUACUCUUUUGAUAUCAAUCCAAUCUUCAGGGGUCUGGGACGUUUUGAAUGCUUAAACGGAUUUUGACUCACAUCCUCAAAAUACACACAGACAGACAGAGAGACGGACAGACUCAUAAAGAACAGCCACUAGAGACUUUUUCAUAACCUAGAAUCUGCUGCUCAGGAUGUACUGUGGGAGAAAUCCACUCCAGAUCAGACCGCAACAACCACCCUGGCUCCACGCUGCACCCAUAGACGAUACCACAGGAGGGCUACUCCAUUAAAGACUGCAAGGACUGAACAUUUGUUUCAUUGGCACCCCUCUGUAAUGUUGAAGUGAGGGAAUGAAUACAGGCUCACGUUUACUCACACUCACAGCCAGCAGAGGCGGGAAUGAUGGGUAAUAAGGCUGGAU